UUUGCUCUUGUAUUAGGUUCAAGGAUUAUCGAAUUUCCUGAAGAAAGGUAUCCAUGGUGAUGAUGAUGACAUUGUAAAGCGGAAUCAAAGAAGGAUGGUAUGGUGGAGGCAGCAUUGCAUUUGCAGUCGUUCUUGUUGUAGCUUUCAUGCUGUCACCGCGACAGUGACAGUUUUCUCUGGAAAGCCUGCCAAGGUCUCACUUUGAUAGUUGUGAUGAUCGCAGCAGAAGCUUCGUUAGUGCUCAGGAUCAAAACAGAGGGAAUCAAAGAAGGAUGGUAUGGUGGAGGCAGUAUUGCAUUUGCAGUCGUUCUUGUUGUCACCGUGACAAGUAUUAUGGUUUUUUUAAAACGCAAACGUGGAAAAGAGACGCAUACAUCUGGAGGCAAGUAAUGCACUGGGGAUAAGAGGUGGUAGGCGAGUUGAAAUUUCAAUAUAUGGCAUUGUAGUGGGUGAUGUGGGGGCCCCCACCAAUGGAAAUCUGGUCACUGAUGGAUGAUAUUCCAGUAUUCCUUUUGUUUGUUUUGUUGUUUCCUGUUUCUUGGUGUGUCAUAGUUAUCUCUAACAUAUAUAGAUUUUGUUGUAUGGGAUAUCUUCUGUAGAUUCCAGCGGGUGGGUAUUAAUAUCAGGCCACUCGCUUGCCCUUGAUGAGUAUAGAAUGACUGGGUUGAGCAAAAGAUUGCGUUUCUUCCAAUGAUACUGAAGUUGGCGAUCAUAUCAUAAUCUGCGUUUUGAUAUGAUGUUUAACUUCUCUUUCUUGAUAGGUUGAAAAUGAUGCUAGCAAGGGCCCAUUCUUAAUGUCUUGUUGUAAAGUUGCAGAUGACAAAGGCAUAAUUCCGGUAGGUUAUGUGUUUUUAUGUCUUUCUUGUGACAAAGGCGUCAUUCCGAUAGGUUGUGUUUUUUGUCUUUCCUGCUCGUUAUUGUCCUCUGAAUUAUCUGGUUUGCAUGAAAAAAAAUGGUUUAUGUAAAACUGAAAAACAAAAAGACUACUAGAGUCAAAUGAUGUUUGAAGUGUUUAUGAGGACUGUAAAUUUUAUGAAUAUGGGUAACUAACUAACCUAUUUUCUGUCCUCAAAGGUCACUGUUGUUGGUAUCGGCACCGAGUGGGGAUUGUUGAUGGCUUGUAUUUCAAAAGAAAACGGCGAAGAAACUCCUGUGCAUGUAGAAAAUGUUUUAAAUGAGCUUACUAUUCGGUGUAUUAGCAUUUACAUAUAUUGUUAAACUUACGACAUGUCUCAAUCAGGUUUGCCUAAACGGAGUGGCUGAUUUUUAAUGGAAUUGUUGGUCUGUAUCUUGCUCUUUGUUGGCAAGAUAUAGUCGGUAUAAUACUACGUACUGAAGUAAAGUUUUUGCUAGCUAUAUAGUCGGUAUAAAGCUAAAUAGCU